rnacentral:snoRNA from 8 species
AAGACUAUACUUUCAGGAAUCAUUUCUAUAGUUCGUUACUUGAAAAAUGUGUGUCUAAAGUGGUAGGUCUCGCUAUCCAUGAUGACGAUUCAGAAAUU